rnacentral:rRNA from 1 species
AAUGAACGUUGGCGGCGUGGAUUAGGCAUGCAAGUCGAGCGCGAUAUGUAGCAAUACAUGGAGAGCGGCGAAAGGGAGAGUAAUACGUAGGUAUCUACCCUCGGGUCUGGGAUAGCAGCGGGAAACUGCUGGUAAUACCAGAUAACGUCUCCGGACCAAAGGUGUGAUUCCACCUGAGGAGGAGCCUACGGCCUAUUAGCUAGUUGGUAGGGUAACGGCCUACCAAGGCAAAGAUGGGUAUGGGGUGUGAGAGCAUGCCCCCACUCACUGGGACUGAGACACUGCCCAGACACCUACGGGUGGCUGCAGUCGAGAAUCUUCGGCAAUGGGCGAAAGCCUGACCGAGCGACGCCGCGUGCGGGAUGAAGGCCUUCGGGUUGUAAACCGCUGUCGUAGUGGAGGAAAUGUAGGAGAGUUAUCUCUUUUACUUGACUAAUACUAGGAGGAAGGACCGGCUAAUCUCGUGCCAGCCGCCGCGGUAA